GAUACAUAGGGUCAGUCAAAUACAUUAUUAAAAUCAAUUCUAUUUCUUUCUUACUUUUUAAUCUGUCUACUAGGAAAUUUAAAAUAGAGCUUGCAAUAUUUUUCUGUGAGGGCUUAUGAAUUUGGAUUCUAUCUUUAUGCUCCGUCCCGCCAGCCUACCAGAAAUUCAGUUAAUUGCUCAGCAGUCAUAACUGCCUAACAGAUUCUGGAUUUUAAAAUGAGCUGGAGCAGAAGAAGGCUGCAUGGGUAUCACAGAUAUAGAUUUUUUUGAGGCUUUAUUUAGUAUGCACAUCUGAUCGAUUUUCUUAGUUAUAAAUAUAAAAUUAAACAUGAGGAGAGCAUUUAGAAAACUAUUCAUGUUUCUCUAUUAUAGCGUCUUAGUCUUUAAAAAUGACCACGGAGCAACUGGACACACAUUGCAGAUGGAUUAAACAAAUAACAUUGCUCAGUUCCUGGCAUAAUGAAGACAAUCAACAAAUUACUGUUGAAGCACCAUCAAAUAGCAUGAGAAGUGUGCUCCUUCAGAACUGCCCAUGGACCUCAGGGACCCUUCCCUUGUUAUCACUGGAAAAUGACAGAAAAAGAAUGGGGAGUGAAAAUAUACCUUCAAUACAUCAUUCAGCAGUACACAUAGAAGAUAUAAGACAUCUGGAGAACGGACGUCAGCGAGCCAGGAUGGUAGAACAAAUUCAAAUCCAUGCCACGGGAAAACGAACAUUUGCGAUCUCAAGACGGGUAGUCAGAAAACUGAAAAAUAACUUCAAACUUUGGGAAACAGCCUAGACUGCACCACAUGGCCUCAGAGGGUUGGGAGAGGCCGGCAAGUGGAGAUUUGAUGAGACAGCCUUUCUUUUAUUGGAAGACAGAAUGCCCUAAUAGACUUGUUUUAUACACAGAAAGAACUGCCUGGGGAAGCAAUCAAUCAGCUUCCUGCUCCAACUAGAGUCCAAACCUUUCCAAAUGAGACAUCCAGUGAUAUACAGACCAGAAAAAUGGCCUGGCUUUCUUAAGGUCUCAAAGCUGGUGCACAGCAGAGCAAAAAGGAAUACGGAGGGACCCACAGUGAAAAGCUAUUCAUUUCUGUCUUGUUUUCUCUCCAGCAGCUCCCUCCACACCCACGGCAACCCUGCCCUCUCCUGGAGACUAGAUCAGGCCACGGGACAGACCGUUAUCCAAAAGAGCACUGGCUGGACAAAUAGGGGGCUGUUGAUUCAAAGCAUCAAAGAAAGAGUAAAAUAAAAGCAUCUGGAGCUACCUAAAUUAAAAGAUAGAAAUAUUAAAACACAUGAAGACCAGGGACAAUAACAAGGCACAGCACCGCCAGAAUUGCUCUUCUAGUCACUGUCGCUUCCUGAGCAAAGUUACCAGAACUUACCAGGAGUUCUCACUGUUGUUCUAAGAAUAUUUCCAAGAAGAGUGAGACCCCUUCAAAAAUAUGUGCGUUCCAAAUAUAAAUGCAUAAAUGCCUGUGCUUUUCUCUGAGAAUACACCACUGAAUGGCUGUUCCACGCCUGUACCUUGUUGCCCAACCUGAAAGUAAUGACUCAGAUACAGCAGACAUUUUAUAUGUUAGUUACACCGUUAUGUUAAAAUUGCACUACAGGAAUUUCAAAUUUGUGUAUCAGAAACUACACUAUGAAGCUGUAGAGUGGCUCCGAUGUGGUUUUACUUUUCAUCUGAGGAAUCUGUUGUUACAAACAUAAAAGAAGUAUCGCAGAGCCAAGUGACUUCACAGUGAAAGGUGCUUGUUUGCUCACCUUUUGCUAUUUCUCAUUUUCACCGAUUCCGCGUUAAUCAUAGCUGUGCUGUUCAGAAAACUCCUUUGGGUAAACAAGGAUAAAGUCACAGAAUAAAAGAAUAAAAAUAUCAAAUACUCUUUACUUCUGUCUCUCAGAUAAUACUGCCAUACAGAGAUUCAUCGUUGGGGGCUUUACACCCUCCAGGAGAAGGCAAAAUCGACCACACUGCUGGUGAUGAGGGCCACUGCCAUGUUAAAACCACAUCUAGGAACAUUUGGCUGAAGAGCCCAUUUCCUUGAUGUGGGUCAGAGGUUAGUGCCUUGAUCUGAGUCUCACUGCUCUUCCCUUUAAAUUGAGAUAGCAAGAGGGC
ensembl:lincRNA